GCGGGUGUAGUUCAGUGGUAGAACAUCAGCUUCCCACGCUGAAAACGGGGGUUCGAUUCCCCUCACCCGCU
rnacentral:tRNA from 2 species